rnacentral:lncRNA from 1 species
UCUGUUCAAGAAAAAGGUAAGCAUCAUUUCUGCAAUUGAUACUAGCAUAUAUGGAUUUUUAAAAUUAAAUCUAUUCAUUUACUUACCUAUUUGUAUGUGUGUGUGUGCGUGCGUGCGUGUGUGUGUGUGUGUGUGUGUGUGUGCACAUAUGCAUACAUAUGGUGGUCAGAGGACAACUUGGGGGAGGUUUUCCCUUCUACAAUUAAACUUAUGUCAUCAGGCUUGGUAGCAAAUGCCUUUUGCUGGCUGAGCCAUUUUGACAACCCAUGAAUGGCAUUUAUACUCAUAACCUUUCUGUAAUAGGUUUACUGAGAGAUGUGUACAUUUAGUUUUUACUUAGAUUUACUAAAAAUAAUUAAAGUUAUACAUAUAAUAAAAUGUGAAUGAUCUACAAAAAACUGUGAGUAGAUGGGCUAAGGAAAUGGCUCACUGGUAAACUGCUGCUUGCUUGCUGCACUAACAUGAGACUCUUAGUUCGAAUCCUCAGCACCCAGGUAAAAAGCUAGGCGUGGCUGUGUUUCCCUUUGCAAUCCCAGCAGUUGAUAAAGGGGCCAAGGAAAAGUGAAUUAUUGGUGUAAGUGGAAGGCAGCCUAGCUCCACGUUCAGAAGGUAGAAAUCAAAUGUAUCAGUAAAUGACUUUUAGAAACUAUCAGUACACACAAGUUGCCUUUGUUUCUUUAAAUUCAAUAUCACCUUCUUUGUCAUAUUUCUUAGCCUGUAGAUUAAUGCCUGCUUUCUAUGUAGUAAACAAACAAAGUGUGAAUAUUUGUCCUUCCCUCUGGUGUGGAACAUGUACAAUUAAGAUGCAUUGAAAAUAGUGAAAAGUUUGACCUGUCAUGUUAACUCAUGAAUUUCUGAUAAUAGACUGAAUUGAUUAGAGGUAGAAGAAAACACAUUGAAUAUAAAAAUGUGAAACUCUGAAUUAUGGUUUAUUUGUGUAACUUAGAUGAUCCUGCAUAACAUUUUAGGGGAUAGACUGAAAAUGAAAGCAGUUGUUACAUUUGGAGGAUGAGAAGUUUUUGUUUGUUUGUUUUAGGGGCAUAGGAGAACUACUAGAUAUUAGAAAUAUUAUGCUAAGAAAUAAUUUUAGGGCUCAGAGUGUGACUCAGUAGCAGAACACUUAUCUCUAGCAUGCAUGAGGUUCUGUGUUCAAUCCCCAACACUGCAAAAAACCCAACAACAAAACAGAACAAAAAAAACAAAACAAAGAAAAACAAAACAAAACAAAACUUGUCAUACGUGGAUAAGAGGGGAUAUUUAAAAUUUUGGACAAUGGCACCAACUUUUUAGGGGUUUCUUUUGCAUGCUGUCCCCAACUUACUGUUUUCAUGCGCUGCCAUUUAAGGCUAUUCUAUCAUAUUCUAUAAUAUCAGCCUAAUUUUGGGCCAAAGGCAGGUAUGUUGUUUUAAUAUAAAUACCUUUAGAAAUGACUGUAUCAUCAUUAUUAAUGUGUUGUGUUUUGAGAGUGUGUGUGUGUGUGUGUGUGUGUGUGUGUGUGUUUAUAUGGUGGGGUAGUAGUGAUGACUGCCUUGUUGCACAUGUAGAAGUAAAAAGAAUUGGUUUUUGUCUUUCACCUAUCAUGUUUCUGGGCAUUGAAGCACUUUCCCUGCUGAGCUAUUUUGAUAGCUCAUGACUGGAUUUUAAAUGUAAAAAUGUCAUUGUCCAAGACCAAAUCCCAAAGUUAUUUUACAUUAUUAGUUAUCCCCCUGCACUCCAGCCAAAUCUUAUUCCAUCACAUGUACAUCCCCAUUGUUAUUAUUUUAAUUUAGGUUUCCAGUUUAUUUAGCUGAAACAAUACACAGUUAUUUAAAGCCAAACAAGCCAAAAAGGUUCUAAGGGGUUUUUUAAUCUUAUUUGUUUAUAUAUGCAUAUGUGUACAUGUACCUGCAGAGGCAUAGGCAUGUGGGAGAAGUCCUACGUGGGUGCUAGGAACCAACCUUGGGUCCUCUGGAUGAGCACCAAGUGUUCUUAGUCAUUGAGCCAUUUCUCCAGCCCUCAUCACUACCCUUCCUUCCUUCCUUCCUUCCUUCCUUCCUUCCUUCCUUCCUUCCUUCCUUCCUAAAUUUCUUAAUUUCUUUCUUUCUUUUUUCUCUUUCUUGUUUUUUGCUUUAUUUUUGUUGUUUUGUGUUUGUUUAUUUGUUUUGACAGGUUCUCACUAUGUAGUCCUGGCUGUUCUGGAACUCACUAUGUGGAACAGGCUGGCCUCAAACUCAAAGAGAUAAACCUGUCUCUGCAUCAAAAGCAUACUCCACCAUGUCUGGCAAUAUCUACAACUUUUUGAAAGGAGGAGGGAUAGUCAUAGUUGUGUGCAUGUACAUAUGCACAUAAUUAUGUACUCCCUAGUCUUCCCAAGGUGUUUGCCUUGAAUUACUUAGACGGUUUUCUAAUCAUCAUUUCUAUAUUCUGUCUUUAAAAUGCCCAUAUAAUGGGCUGGAGAAAUGAUCCAUCACUUCAGAGCACUUGCUGGUCUUGCAGAGGACUUUAUUUAGUUCUGUUCCCAGCUUCCACAUGGGGGCUCACCACCAUCUGUAAAUCCAGUGCUAGGGGAUCCAUGACCUUCUGCUAACACCUGCAGGCACCAGGCAUGCAUAUGGCUCAUAUGCACGCAUGCACUCAAUAUCUUCAUACACAU